rnacentral:rRNA from 1 species
UGCAAGUCGAACGGUGAUCUUGGAGCUUGCUUCGUGUGAGCAGUGGCGAACGGGUGAGUAACACGUGAGUAACCUGCCCCAGACUCUGGAAUAAGCGCUGGAAACGGCGUCUAAUACCGGAUAUGACACGAUCAGGCAUCUGAAUCGUGUGGAAAGUUUUUCGGUCUGGGAUGGACUCGCGGCCUAUCAGCUUGUUGGUGAGGUAAUGGCUCACCAAGGCGAUGACGGGUAGCCGGCCUGAGAGGGCGAUCGGCCACACUGGGACUGAGACACGGCCCAGACUCCUACGGGAGGCAGCAGUGGGGAAUAUUGCACAAUGGGCGAAAGCCUGAUGCAGCGACGCCGCGUGAGGGAUGACGGCCUUCGGGUUGUAAACCUCUUUCAGCAGGGAAGAAGCGCAAGUGACGGUACCUGCAGAAGAAGCACCGGCUAACUACGUGCCAGCAGCCGCGGUAAUACGUAGGGUGCGAGCGUUGUCCGGAAUUAUUGGGCGUAAAGAGCUUGUAGGCGGUUUGUCGCGUCUGCUGUGAAAAUCCGGGGCUCAACCCCGGACUUGCAGUGGGUACGGGCAGACUAGAGUGUGGUAGGGGAGACUGGAAUUCCUGGUGUAG